UUCAAGGGGUGUCCGCGGUUGCGGGCUGAGAUGAUACCCUCUAACCUGAUCCGGAUCAUACCGGCGUAGGGAUGGA
rnacentral:ncRNA from 1 species